rnacentral:rRNA from 1 species
GACGAACCGUGCGAACGUUGUUCGGAAUCACUGGGCUUAAAGGGCGCGUAGGCGGCGUGGUAAGUCACUUGUGAAAUCUCCGAGCUUAACUCGGAACGGUCAAGUGAUACUGCUGUGCUAGAGUGCGGAAGGGGCAACUGGAAUUCUCGGUGUAGCGGUGAAAUGCGUAGAUAUCGAGAGGAACACCUGCGGCGAAGGCGGGUUGCUGGGCCGACACUGACGCUGAGGCGCGAAAGCUAGGGGAGCGAACGGG